CCUUCGUCAGGUGGGGGUGGUGGGCCAGCCCAGGAGCAGCCACAAAACACCCUUGUCCCCAAGGAUGGGAGGAGGAGGCCACCGCAUCUCACCACGAAAGCACGGGAGGAGGUGGCAGCGCUGCUCAGCAACCGUGAUGUAAUACGGCGCUCCUGGGCGCUCAAUGACCUGCUGCACAUAGGAAGGGAGAAGACUGCCCACAACAAUAUAGAAAGGUCGCAGGCUGGCGGAGGCCCCGCUAGCCUCCUAUUCCUUUUGAGGCAUGAGCAAGAUGCCCUAGAGCCUCCCAACGUGCAGCUGAAUGUGGAGAGGCUAGGGUGCCAGACGAAGGUUUGCCAGCAGGUGUUCGAUCGCUGGAGCCCAAAGGGCCACCCCUGACACCAGAGGACCACUGGGCAUCAUUUGCACCUGUGUCAUACCCGCACUCUGAGACAAGCACCAGCACAGGGACCAGCACCUCACUGGGCAUUAGAAUGGUGGCUAGUAUAUCGGUGCACAUUGGUGAGGGCACUUCACUAUCGCUUGAGGUGCAGGUGGAAGCAAUGUGUGCUCAGAGUGACUGCAGUCGGAGGACUGCUGAAGACCAGGAUGAUGCUCAGACAAAGGCUGAUCUUGAGCCUCUGGUGUCGUCCAUUAGGCGGCAGAUACUGGAUGUCUAGCAAGAUGUGUGGGAGGGUCUAGUGGAGAUCAAUGAGGGUCUGUGUGCCAUGGUCUCCAUGAUGGAGGAGUCCAUGUGGAGCGUGAGCACUGCGUUGACUGUCAUGGCUGAGCGCACUGCCUCCUCUAUUUAGAGAAUGAUGAUUCAUGGAGAAGCA